rnacentral:rRNA from 1 species
AUACGGAGAGUGCAAGCGUUACUCGGAAUCACUGGGCGUAAAGCGCGCGCAGGCGGCUUGAUAAGUUGGAUGUGAAAGCCUACGGCUCAACCGUAGAACUGCAUCCAAAACUGUCAAGCUAGAGUCUGGGAGGGGAAGAUGGAAUUAGUUGUGUAGGGGUAAAAUCCGUAGAGAUAACUAGGAAUACCAAAAGCGAAGGCGAUCUUCUGGAACAGUACUGACGCUGAGGCGCGAAAGCGUGGGGAGCAAACAGGAUUAGAAACCCCAGUAGUCC